GGUGGCUGCUGCCGAACCGGUUCAGCCGUUCCUCCUUCGGUUCGAGUUGUUGAGAUUGUUGCGAAAGUGGCUUGGAACCGAGGUUUUGGCUGCCGGGAUUUUGAUUGUUGAUUUCGGGUCGAGGCGGAAAGGAUUCUGUGACGCAUUUGGGCUAUGGUUUUGCGUUUUGAGGAUAUGGGCGCAGAAGUUACGAAGAGUUUAUUUAGUUGUUGUUAUUGAGAUGCUUUGUAUUGUUUUAGU